CAAAGUGUAGCUUAUGGUAAAGCACCUGGCCUACACCCAGAAGAUACUAUAUAAUAGUAGUCGCUUUGA
rnacentral:tRNA from 1 species